UACGUAGGGGGCAAGCGUUGUCCGGAUUUAUUGGGCGUAAAGCGCGUGUAGGCGGCCACGCAGGUCCGCUGUGAAAACUCGAGGCUCAACCUCGAGCUGUCGGUGGAAACCGCGUGGCUAGAGUCCGGAAGAGGGGACUGGAAUUCCCGGUGUAGCGGUGGAAUGCGCAGAUAUCGGGAGGAACACCCGUGGCGAAGGCGGGUCCCUGGAACGGUACUGACGCUGAGACGCGAAAGCGUGGGGAGCGAACAGG
rnacentral:rRNA from 1 species